CUCCUCCGCUUUCUCCCUACAGGCUGUGCCCCUUGGGGGUCUACAGAGCAGGUGGGACCCCUCUGCUGUGAACACUUUCCCAGGAAGAGACACUGGCAGGCGUGGCUGAAGCAGAACAAUGCUGUGAGGAGCCCAGAUGUAUCUGGGAGGCAAAGUGUGAUUCAACAGCGGCCCAGGAGGAAGUCACUCUGGCAUCUUGGUUCAGGUGAGGAAACUGAGGCCUGGAGACACCGAUUCUCUUGCCCAGGGAUUAGAGGCAAAGCUGGGAUUCAAACCAGGCAGUCCAACUCCAGUCCCUGGGCUGAUCCACUAUUCAACUGCCUGCAGAAACCCCACAGCUGGGACUUCUGGCUAUGACUCUGAGCUCCUGAUGCAGGGGGCCAGGCUUUGAUCUGUGGUCAGGGAAUUAAACCCCACAUGCUGCAACUAAAGAGUUCAACUGUCAUAACUAAAGGUCCUGCAUGUUGCAACUAAGGCCUGGUGCAGCCAAAUAAAUAUAAAUAUUAAAAAAGAGAAGAAACCCCACAACCACCGGGGUCAGACGUCCCGUUACUUGACCGAGUUUUCCCAGGAUCUGUUAUACAUCAGGCCUGGGAGAAGGCCACAGGGACCCUGACUCAGCCUUAGUUCCUGGAAGCCGAGGGAGGUUCCAGGCCCCGCCACAUCCGCCUGCUGCUUACCAGUGCAGGCCACGGCCGCGAACACCCAGCACUGGCCGUACUUGACGCGCUGGCAGCCAUCUCUCUUCCAGCGCCGCAGGAUGUCCACGCUGCCGAUCCAGGACAUGGGGCUGAUGCCAUCCGCAUAGUUGUUGUCCCAGCGCCCCAGGAGCACGCCCUGGUCAUCGUUGCAGUUGACCUGUGACCCACAAGAGCGUCAGAGGGACCGUGUCUGGGAUUAGUGACGGCUGCGAUAGAGUGGGCAUGAACUCAGCACAUGGUGAAAGGCAGGGGAGGGGCCUUCCAGGCUGAAGGAGCAGCAGCUGCAAAGAUCCCGAGGUCUCCUAGCUGAGACUCACCCAUCUCCCAGGUCUCCCCGACCAUGACAGCCCAGGGCCUGGUCUCCAUUAUCACCUGAGGUGGGCCUGCGCUCACUCACCAUGCCGCUCACCACCCGGCCCACGUAGACCGGACUACUGCGGCGGGAGCAGUCUCGGCCGGCAUUCCUCAGAAACUUGGGGUUGACGUCCAGGAGCAUCAGGCAGAUGUCUAAGAUCCCUUCUUCGAACUGUGUCAGAGGAAAGAAGGGGAGGAUGAGGGAGCUGAGACGUCACCUCCUCCAGGAAGCCUGCCUUGAAGUCCAGUGGCUGUGGGAAGCCCCGUGCAUUGUCUCACACAUCACACCUGGAGGCUUGGGUUGGGUCUGUCACACUGCUGUGGUGCCAGCUUUCCUGGCCCAGGAAAGGGGGGGCGGUGCAAUGGGAUGAUGACUGAGUGUAUGAGAAAGGGGAUGGGGUGUGCCUGCAUCCAGACUUGGCGGGGGGG